AUGGCGUCCUCGACGGCCGCCAACCUCUGGGUGCUGCUCGGCCUCGGCAUCGCCGGCGUCCUUCUGGCGGCGAAGCGGCUGAAGCGGCCNNNNNNNNNNNNNNNNNNNNNNNNNNNNNNNNNNNNNNNNNNNNNNNNNNNNNNNNNNNNNCCCCAGGCGCGCCACCCCCUCACCGACCUCUGCUUCGCCAUCGCCGACGCAUUCCAUGUCAGUGGUUAUAUAACAAGUUUCGGCAGCCUAGAAUGGGCGAAGACACACGAUGCAGCAACACAAACAUCUCUAGUGGUUUCAACUCUUGUAGACGGUGGUGCUAUUUGUGUUGGGAAAACUGUUAUUGAUGAGAUGGCAUAUAGUAUCCAUGGCGAGAAUAAACAUUUUGGUACACCAACAAAUCCUGCAGCUUCCGACCGAGUACCUGGAGGAUGCUCAAGUGGAUCAGCUGUUGCUGUUGCUGGUGGCAUGGUAGAUUUCGCCUUGGGUAUCGAUUCCAUUGGAGGAGUAAGGGUACCAGGUGGCUAUUGUGGCGUACUGGCGUUCCGGCCUUCACAUGCUGUUAUAUCCAACAGUGGUGUUAUUCCUGUAGCUCCUAGCCUAGACACUAUAGGCUGGUUCGCAAAGGAUCCGAUUGUAUUGCGUCGUGUUGGUCAUCUUCUUCUGAAAUUAUCUUAUACUGAUAUUCGUCUACCGAGACACUUCUACAUAGCAGAUGAUUGUUUUGAAAUUUCAAAGAUACCUGCAAGAAGGUUAACUCAGGUGGUGACAAAAUCUGUGGAAAAGCUGUACGGAAGACAAGUCUUGAGUCAUGUGAAUCUUGGAAAUUAUUUGGCUUCAAAAAUACCCAGCCUGCGGAACUAUUCAAACGGGCAAAAGAAUGGGGACUCAAAGUUUUCUUCAUUGCAAGCACUUUCUAGCGCCAUGCAGUUGCUUCACAAGCAUGAAUUUAGAGAUCAGCAUAACGAGUGGAUAAACUCGGCAAAGUCUGCCGUUGAUGCUUCCAUAGUUGGUAAUUUGUCUGAUGAUGGUGAUUCAACUAUUAAUAUCGUCCAAGAUGCAAGAAAGGAAGUACGCUUAGCUCUCAACGCACUUCUUAAGGAUGAUGGAAUUCUGGUCAUCCCAACUGCUCUGGGAUGCCCUCCAAAAAUUAAUGCCAGGGAGCUCUCGUCUACAAGCUACAAUUCUGAGACAUUAUGCCUUCAAUCUUUAUCUAGUAUGUCUGGGUGUUGUCAGGUUACUGUUCCCAUCGGUACACAUGACAAGUGUCCUAUUUCGGUUUCCUUCAUUGCGAGGCAUGGUGGUGAUCGCUUUUUGCUGGACACCACUCAAGCCAUAUAUGCCACCAUCCAAGAGCAAGUUGAGAUCCUAGCAAAAUCUAAUCCCUCAAGUAAAGAGGCGAUGAGUGAAGAAGCUGCUGAAGCUGCUAAAGAGAAAGGUAACAGUGCAUUUAAGGAGAAGCAAUGGCAAAAGGCAAUAAAUUUAUAUACUGAAGCAAUCAAAUUAAAUGGCAAAGUAGCCACAUACUACAGUAACAGGGCUGCGGCUUUUCUCGAACUAGCUAAUUAUCGCCAAGCUGAGACAGAUUGCACUAGCGCCAUCGAUAUUGAUCCAAAGAUUGUCAAAGCUUACUUGCGAAGAGGCACGGCAAGAGAGAUGCUUGGAUACUAUAAGGAGGCUGUCGAUGAUUUUAGCCAUGCCCUUGUUCUAGAGCCAAUGAACAAGACGGCUGGUGUAGCUAUUAAUAGAUUAAAGAAGCUAUUCCCGUAA
rnacentral:rRNA from 1 species